rnacentral:rRNA from 1 species
GACGAACGCUGGCGGCGUGCCUAAUACAUGCAAGUAGAACGCUGAAGAGAGGAGCUUGCUCUUCUUGGAUGAGUUGCGAACGGGUGAGUAGCGCGUAGGUAACCUGCCUUGUAGCGGGGGAUAACUAUUGGAAACGAUAGCUAAUACCGCAUAACAAUGGAUGACACAUGUCAUUUAUUUGAAAGGGGCAAUUGCUCCACUACAAGAUGGACCUGCGUUGUAUUAGCUAGUAGGUGAGGUAACGGCUCACCUAGGCGACGAUACAUAGCCGACCUGAGAGGGUGAUCGGCCACACUGGGACUGAGACACGGCCCAGACUCCUACGGGAGGCAGCAGUAGGGAAUCUUCGGCAAUAGGGGCAACCCUGACCGAGCAACGCCGCGUGAGUGAAGAAGGUUUUCGGAUCGUAAAGCUCUGUUGUAAGUCAAGAACGAGUGUGAGAGUGGAAAGUUCACACUGUGACGGUAGCUUACCAGAAAGGGACGGCUAACUACGUG